UGGCUAGCAAUGCGCAUAACAUC
rnacentral:miRNA from 1 species